ACUCCUACGGGAGGCAGCAGUUGGGAAUAUUGGACAAUGGAGGGAACUCUGAUCCAGUGACGCCGCGUGAAGGAAGAAGGUCUUCGGAUUGUAAACUUAUUUUAUCAGGGAAGAAACAAAUGACAGUACCUGAAGAAGAAGCACCGGCUAACUACGUGCCAGCAGCCGCGGUAAU
rnacentral:rRNA from 1 species